rnacentral:sRNA from 1 species
GGUGACCCACCAGCUACAGUUCUUAGAGUCUUGUGAUGAAGUCAUUUUAUUAGAAGAUGGAGAGAUUUGUGAAAAGGGAACCCACAAGGAGUUAAUGGAGGAGAGAGGGCGCUAUGCAAAACUGAUUCACAACCUGCGAGGAUUGCAGUUCAAGGAUCCUGAACACCUUUACAAUGCAGCAAUGGUGGAAGCCUUCAAGGAGAGCCCUGCUGAGAGAGAGGAAGAUGCUGGUAUAAGCGGUUAGAAUCCCAUCCCUGUUAUUGUCCUUGGCUUGAAUGGACACAGAUCUUUCUUUAUUUCUCACCCUAGUUUUGGCUCCAGGAAAUGAGAAAGAUGAAGGAAAAGAAUCUGAAACAGGCUCAGAAUUUG